UACAGAGGGGGCAAGCGUUGUUCGGAAUUACUGGGCGUAAAGGGCGCGUAGGCGGCCUGUUAAGUCGAACGUGAAAUCCCCGGGCUCAACCCAGGAACUGCGUCCGAUACUGGCAGGCUUGAAUCCGGGAGAGGGAUGUGGAAUUCCAGGUGUAGCGGUGAAAUGCGUAGAUAUCUGGAGGAACACCGGUGGCGAAGGCGGCAUCCUGGACCAACACUGACACUGAGGAGCGAAAGCCAGGGGAGCAAACGGG
rnacentral:rRNA from 1 species